CACAAGUGUAACUCUUAUACAAUAUAUAUCAAAGAAAAAAUCUGUUAUUGUUUGAAAGGAGGAGAUUAGAUUUUGUAUGUGUAUAAAAAAAAUAAUUGUAUUUUAUUCUACAGAAAUUUUGGACAAUGUAUACAAGCAUUGUAUUCAUUCAUUUUUAUACGACCGCAAAAAAAUUUUGUGGUCGUAAAUUGGUAUGACGUUGGCGUCGUCGUCGUCGUCGUCGUCCGGCGUCGUCGUCCGAAUACACAUUGGUUUUCGCACUCUAACUUUAGUUUAAGUGAAUGGAUCUUUUUGAAAUUUUACCAUAAGGUUAAAUACCACAAAAGGAAGGUUGGGAUUGAUUUUGGGGGUUAUGGUACCAACAGUUAAGGAGUUAGGGGCCAAAAAGGGGCCAAAAAUAAGCAUUUUCUAGUUUCCAGACAAUAACUGUGGAACGGUGUAUGGAUCUCUCUGAAAUUAUACUACAAGUUUCCAUACCACAAAGGGAUGGUUAGGAUUUGCUUUGGGGGGUUAUGGCUCAAACCGUUUAGGAAUUAGGGGCAAAAAAGGGGGAAAAACAAGGUUGUCCUGGUUAAUGGACAAAUACUUUAGUACAAAACAUAAUUUAAAGCAGUGUAAGGGAGAUAAAUCAAAUACAUCAUUGAAAUUAUCUCCCUUACACUGCUUUUAAAUUAUGUAUAAAGUAAUGGUUAAUGAACAAUAAAGAUAAUUUAAAACAAUGUAAGGGAGGUAAUCCAAAUACAACGUUUUGGUUACUUCCCUUACACUGCUUUUAAAUUAUGUUUAAAGAAAUGCAUAUUUAUAAAGGAAGACCAGUAAAAAUAUCUGCAAAUGUUGCAUCUUUUUUUUUACAAAAAAAUCCAUAUGAAAGAUUUGACACUAUAUUUUUAAUUCUAUUAUAAAAUAGAUUAAGUUAGCACUAUGGUAAAUUUAAAUGGGUAAUUAUGGUUGCCAACUCCAUUGGAAAUUUGAAUUGAGAUUUUGACCAUAUCUUGAGGGAAAGAAUUUUUUGGGGGAAAAAAGGGGGGGGGGGAGGAUAAAAAGAAAUUGUGGGGGGUCAAUUUUUUCUCAUUUCAGAUUUCAGAAAUUAAAAAGAAUUAUUCUUCAAAUAUUAUUUUUUUUUCAAAUUUCAAAUAUUGAAAAAUUCAAGAAGUAAUCUUUAAUUGCACAGUAUGGCGCAUUAGAUUUGUAAAAUCUUUGAUCACAUUUAUUUAUUUGUUAUGCCGAAUCUAACAGUGUAUUUAGAUUUUUAAUUUUGGGUCCAGUUUUCAAAUUGGUCUACAUUAAGGUCCAAAGGGUCCAAAAUUAAACUUAGUUUGAUUUUAACAAAAAUUGAAUUCUUGGGGUUCUUUGAUAUGCUGAAUCUAAACAUGUGUUUAGAUUUUUGAUUAUGGGCCCAGUUUUCAAGUUGGUCCAAGAUAGGGUCCAGUAUUUAAACUUUGUUUGAUUUCAACAAAAAUUGAAUAUAUGGGGUUCUUUGAUAUGCUGAAUCUAAACAUGUAUUUAGAUUUUUGAUUAUGGGCCCAGUUUUCAAGUUGGUCCAAGAUAGGGUCCAGUAUUUAAACUUUGUUUGAUUUCAUCAAAAAUUGAAUUAUUGGGGUUCUUUGAUAUGCCAAAUCUAACCGUGUUUUUAGAUUUUUAAUUUGGGUCCCGUUUUUUUUAAAUUGGUCUACAUUAAGGUCCAAAGGGUCCAAAAUUAAACUUAGUUUGAUUUUAACAAAAAUUGAAUUCUUGGGGUUCUUUGAUAUGCUGAAUCUAAACAUGUGUUUAGAUUUUUGAUUAUGGGCCCAGUUUUCAAGUUGGUCCAAGUUGGGGUCCAAAAUUAAACUUUUUUUGAUUUCAACAAAAAUUGAAUAUAUGGGGUUCUUUGAUAUGCUGAAUCUAACCAUGUAUUUAGAUUUUUUAUUUGUGGGCCCCGCUUUCAAAUUGGUUCAUAUUGAGGUCAAAAGGGUCCAAAAUUAAACUUUGUUUGAUUUCAUCAAAAAUUGAAUUAUUGGGGUUCUUUGAUAUUCCAAAUCUAACCGUGUAUUUAGAUUUUUAAUUUUAAGUCCCGUUUUUUAAAUUGGUCUACAUUAAGGUCCAAAGGGUCCAAAAUUAAACAUAGUUUGAUUUUAGCAAAAAUUGAAUUCUUGGGGUUCUUUGAUAUGCUGAAUCUAAACAUGUGUUUAGAUUUUUGAUUAUGGGCCCAGUUUUCAAGUUUGUCCAAGUUGGGGUCCAAAAUUAAACUUUGUUUGAUUUCAACAAAAAUUGAAUAUAUGGGGUUCUUUGAUAUGCUGAAUCUAACCAUGUAUUUUGAUUUUGGACAUUGGACCAUAAUAGGUAAAUUAAAAAAAAUUGAAGUUCUUAGACCACAUUCUUUCUGUGUCAGAAACCUAUGCUGUGUCAAAUAUUUAAUCACAAUCCAAAUUCAGAGCUGUAUCAAGCUUGAAUGUUGUGUCCAUACUUGCCCCAACUGUUCAGGGUUCGACCUCUGCGGUCGUAUCAAGCUGCGCCCAGCGAAGCAUUUUAUUAACA